UCCCGCUCCAGUACUGCAAUUGUGGUGGUCUCCAGAUUGAACUGAAAUCCCAUGAUCCCUUUUUUUUCUCAAUCUAGUACCUAUCACUAACACACUCUCUCUCUCUUGCUAAAUGGUUGAACCUAUACAUUAUAGAGUCACAGACGCAUUGCCAGCCCACUGCAAGAUCAUCUCUCCUCUUCCAUUGGCCAGGUUACAAUGUCACAUGCCUUGGGUUACAGUCUUACAGAUGAUGUCGAGGGGAGAUAUAUUUCAUUGCAACAAGUAUUAGCUUGGCAACAUAUCUUCACGAGGAAUAUGUUAUUAUUUGAGAGAAUAGAUUGGAACUUAAAUUAUGUUAUAUGAUAUUGAACUUCGGUAUUGUUUUUCCUUAUUAGUAGUUAUUGAUUGAGCAGUUAUUAUGCUUAUAUGUGUAUUUGUGAUUGAAAAUUUGUGAUGUAGUAGUUAUUGAUUGAGUAGUUGUUAUGCUUAUAUGUGUAUUUGUGUUUGAAAA